rnacentral:pre_miRNA from 1 species
UCAAGCCUGUAAUCCCAGCACUUUGGGAGGCCGAGGCGGGCGGAUCACGAGGUCAGGAGAUCGAGACCAUCCUGGCCUCAGGUGAUCCACCCGCCUCGGCCUCCCAAAGUGCUGGGAUUACAGGCGUGA